ACGUGCGAUGUGCGAUAGCCUCAGUCCACCUGUGUGUGAGGCAAAGGAGCACAUGUAUUAUUGAGCUCUCCCCGUAAUUGACUCUGUGUGCCAGAGAGGGAGAAGCGGUCGCCUUUUGAUCCACUGAUUAUUUCUCCUUACUACAGUCCACCUGUUUGCAAGGCUAAGGAGCACAUGUAUUAUUGAGCUCUCCCCGUAAUUGACUCUGUGUGCCAGAGAGGAAGAAGCGGUCGCCUUUUGAUCCACUGAUUAUUUCUCCUUACUACAGAUCAGGUAAAGGAAAGUGCUAAAUCUCACCGAAGAGUG